rnacentral:sRNA from 1 species
UACGAUAUUUAGGUGCUUGCGCGCCAUGGU